rnacentral:rRNA from 1 species
CCUACGGGGGGCAGCAGUAAGGAAUAUUGGUCAAUGGACGGAAGUCUGAACCAGCCAUCCCGCGUGCAGGAAGAAGGUCCUAUGGAUUGUAAACUGCUUUUAGCAGAGACGAAACGCCUUCAUUUAUGGGGGUUUGACGGUAUCUGCGGAAUAAGCACCGGCUAACUCCGUGCCAGCAGCCGCGGUAAUACGGAGGGUGCAGGCGUUAUCCGGAAUCACGGGGUCGUAGGGGGGCGUUGAAGUCAGUUGUGAAAGCCUGUAGCUUAACUACAGAAUUGCCAUUGAGACUGAUUUUCUUGAAUUGGGUUGAGGUUAGCGGAAUGUGACAUGUAACGGUGAAAUGUUUAGAUAUGUCAUGGAACACCGAUUGCGAAGGCAGCUAGCUGGGCCUUGAUUGACGCUGAGGCACGAAAGCGUGGGUAGCGAACAGGAUUAGAUACCCGAGUAGUC